rnacentral:piRNA from 1 species
UGACCAGUGGUGGCCAAACCAGAAGUAGU